rnacentral:rRNA from 1 species
GAUGAACGCUGGCGGCGUGCCUAACACAUGCAAGUCGAGCGAACAGACGAGGCGCUUGCUCCUCUGACGUUAGCGGCGGGCGGGUGAGUCACACGUGUAUCCCCCACCUAUAAGACUGGUAUAACUUCGGGACAGCGGAGCUAAUACCGGAUAAUAUCUUGAACCGCAGGGUUCAUUAGAGAAUUACGGUGUUGCUGGCUCUUAUAGCUGGUUCCGCGCCGGUUUAGGUAGUUGUUACGGUAACGGCCUACCAAGGCUACGAUGCGUAGGCGAGCGGAGAGGGUGAUCGGCCACACUGGAGCGGAGACACGGUCAAGACUACUACGGGAGGGAGCAGAAGGGAAUCUUAGGCAAUGGGCGAAAGCAUGACGGAGCAACGCCGCGUGUGUGAUGAAGGUCUUCGGAUCGUAAAGCCGUGUUAUUAGGGAAGAACAGAUGUGGAAUGAAACAUAGCCGUCUUGACGGUACCGAAUCAGAAAGCACCGGCUAACUACGUG